UACGGGGGGGGUAAGCGUUGUUCGGAAUUACUGGGCGUAAAGGGCUCGUAGGCGGCCAACUAAGUCAGACGUGAAAUCCCUCGGCUUAACCGGGGAACUGCAUCUGAUACUGGAUGGCUUGAGUUCGGGAGAGGGAAGCGGAAUUCCGGGUGUAGCGGUGAAAUGUGUAGAGAUCGGGAGGAACACCGGUGGCGAAGGCGGUCUUCUGGACGGUGACUGACGCUGAGGCGCGAAAGCGUGGGGAGCAAACGGGG
rnacentral:rRNA from 1 species